CGUAGGGUGCGAGCGUUAUCCGGAAUCAUUGGGCGUAAAGAGCUCGUAGGCGGUUCAGCAAGUCGGCUGUGAAAGUCCGAGGCUCAACCUCGGAAUUGCAGUCGAUACUGCUGUGACUCGAGUCCGGUAGAGGAGAAUGGAAUUCUCGGUGUAGCGGUGAAAUGCGCAGAUAUCGAGAGGAACACCAGUAGCGAAGGCGGUUCUCUGGGCCGGCACUGACGCUGAGGAGCGAAAGCGUGGGGAGCAAACAGGAUUAGAUACCCUGGUAGUCCACGCUGUAAACGUUGGAUACUAGGUGUGGCGGUCUUACCAACGACUGCCGUGCCGAAGCUAACGCAUUAAGUAUCCGCCUGGGACGUACGGCCGCAAGGCUA
rnacentral:rRNA from 1 species